rnacentral:rRNA from 1 species
UACGAAGGGUGCUAGCGUUGCUCGGAAUUACUGGGCGUAAAGCGUGCGCAGGCGGUUGUGCAAGACCGAUGUGAAAUCCCCGGGCUCAACCUGGGAACUGCAUUUGUGACUGCAAGGCUAGAGUACGGCAGAGGGGGAUGGAAUUCCGCGUGUAGCAGUGAAAUGCGUAGAUAUGCGGAGGAACACCAAUGGCGAAGGCAAUCCCCUGGGCCUGUACUGACGCUCAUGCACGAAAGCGUGGGGAGCAAACAGG